rnacentral:lncRNA from 1 species
UUUUUUCCUUCUUUCUUUUCGACAAGCUGAGACUUGGGGAGUCCGAUUGACUAAACAUUAGACAAAUAUUCAGUACAAAACUCAAUCGCUUCUUCAACAAUGUAUCUUUCAACCAUACAACCUUCUGGUCGACUUCGGUUCUUCACGUACCCUUUUAAUAUUUCAUAUAACGUUCAACAGGGUACAUCCAUCUCAUAUAAGUUGGUCCACACAAUUGUGUCUCUUUCACAAGAUGAA